ACAAAAAGGAGUAGACUGAGAUU
rnacentral:piRNA from 1 species